CACAAUAUUUGGCACUAAACUGGACUCAGCCAAUAGCUUGGGAUGUAGCUGGGAUCGCAUCAAUCGUUUCAAACCAUCAGCCUGGAGUGAAUGUCGCGGUCGGCAGUUCUAUCAGAGUCAGUUACAAUAUAACCGACAACAAUGGACUGACAAACGGGAACUGUUCUUUCAUUUUCGCUGUUCGAUCAGCAGAUCCUUCCUGGAAGUGCACAUUGUCAAAGUGUUACCGGUUGAUUGGUCUUCGUACGUUUUACCAAUCGCACUCCCUCUGCCAGAGUUUCGAUGUGGUCAAUGCAGCGUCAGGGAACCUGGCAGUUUCCACACUGUAUGUAAACACACGCAGUGAAUUCCUUGACAUAAACAAAGUGCUGGGUCCAAGUCAAUUCUUGCUCAACUGUUAUGCGAAAUCACAAAAAGGGCAUUUCAACUGUGUUGGUGAUGAUGGUGAAGUAACAGGACCUCCAUCUGAUGUCCCUUUUGGCAUCGUUCAUCUUGGAGGAAGCCAUGGGCACUGUCUGAUUAUCGGGAUUGAUGAUAAUGGGUCUAUAGUAGUGAAUGAUGUAUCGUGUGGAAUCCAUCACCCAUUCGUUUGUCAGAUUGUACUUUGAGCAGGGUGCUACUUAACUGUUUAGAAGCGCUUGCCUGGUUGGGUAAGUAAAAUUUAUAUAUCUACCUUGUUAUUGAAUUUCUUUUUCAAAAGUGAUUUUAUCUUGUCUGCC